CCGGUCCACAGCGAGGAACCAACAGAGGCCAUGCCACCCGGAAACCAGCCUCCGGAUUCAUCAGAACACCGUCAUAUUGGGAGGAGGCUCUCUGGAGGCUGAACACAGUCAUGCUGUCCCCUCAUGCUCUUCGACCUCUCUGACCCAGCUGACGGAGGCCAGCUGAUGGAGGCCAGCUGACGGAGGCCUGCUGACGGAGGCCUGCUGCCCAUCAGUUAUUGUCGCGAUAACAACAAUACCUGGUGUCUUGCGAUCGGUAAGAGAAAAUCUAUUUGCAAGAGAUGCACGUGUAGCUAAACGCUUUGGUCCAGAGAGGAGGAGGACGCUCUGGUCCAGAGAGGAGGAGGAGGAGGACGCUCUGGUCCAGAGAGGAGGAGGA
ensembl:lncRNA